rnacentral:tRNA from 1 species
GCCCUCGUAGCUCAGCGGAUAGAGCGGUCCUCUAGCGAAGUGACAGGUCCCGGGUUCGAUUCCCGGCGAGGGCA